GACGAACGCUGGCGGCGUGCUUAACACAUGCAAGUCGAACGAUGAACCCGGAGCUUGCUCCGGCGGAUUAGUGGCGAACGGGUGAGUAACACGUGAGUAACCUGCCCUUGACUCUGGGAUAACUCCUAGAAAUGGUAGCUAAUACCGGAUACGACCCUCGGUGGCAUCACCAGGGGGUGGAAAGAAUUUCGGUCAGGGAUGGACUCGCGGCCUAUCAGCUAGUUGGUGGGGUAACGGCUCACCAAGGGGACGACGGGUAGCCGGCCUGAGGGGGGGACGGGCCACGAUGAGACUGAGACAUGUCCCAGACUCCUACGGGAGGCAGCAGUGGGGAAAAUUGCACACUGGGCGCAAGCGUGAUGAAGCAACGCCGCGUGAGGGAUGACGGCAUUCGGGUUGUAAACCUCUUUUAGUAGGGAAGAAGCGAAAGUGACGGUACCUGCAGAAAAAGCACCGGCUAACUACGUGCCAGCAGCCGCCGUAA
rnacentral:rRNA from 1 species